UAGAAACAAGUUGAGAUGGGUUACGAAUGAGCAUCGAACUAGCUAAAAGGACUACUGCAUACAAAAAGGACCUUUUGGAUUACCUCCUACAAGUUACAGAACACUUAUCUUUAUUAAAUAUAUCCCUUUGAAGCCACAAUGGCAGACUGCAGCAGUCCGCCAUUGUCAUCCUACAUCAUGGAUGAAGAAACUCUGAAGAGAAAACAAAAGGAGAAGCUAAAGAAGCUGAUGUCUACAGGAGGCAACCCAAGGCCUGCACGUUCUCUCCUCUUCUUGACACUAAGGAAUCCCUUCCGAAAGGCAUGCAUCAGUAUUGUGGAGUGGAAACCUUUUGAAAUCAUAAUACUACUGGCCAUCUUUGCCAACUGUGUGGCCCUGGCUGUGUACUUGCCCAUGCCUGAGGAAGACAGCAACAACACCAAUAGCAACUUGGAAAGCCUGGAGUACAUCUUUCUCAUCAUCUUCUCCAUAGAAUGUUUCUUGAAGAUAGUUGCCUAUGGAUUUCUUUUUCAUACAGACGCUUACUUAAGAAACUGCUGGAACAUUCUGGACUUUGUUUGCGUGUCCGUAGGCUUGUUCACUGUGGUUGUGGAUGCCAUCAACCAUAUCAGUGGAGUGGAGGCUACAGUGGGAGAAAAAGGUGGUGGCUUUGACAUGAAAGCUCUGCGUGCAUUCAGAGUCCUACGACCGCUCAGACUGGUGUCUGGAGUUCCCAGUCUUCAAGUGGUGAUGAACUCCAUCUUGAAGUCAUUGCUGCCUCUUUUUCACAUCACCCUACUUGUCCUUUUCAUGGUCACUAUUUACUCCAUCAUGGGAUUGGAGCUCUUCAAGUGCAAAAUGCACAAGACAUGCUUCUACUCAGGCACAGAUAUCAUUGCUACGGUGGAAAAUGAAAAGCCAGCUCCGUGUGCCCAAGCAGGGAAUGGUCGUCGUUGUACCAUCAAUGGCACAGAGUGUCGUACUGGCUGGCCAGGCCCAAACAAUGGAAUCACCCACUUUGACAACCUAGGCUUCUCCAUGCUGACUGUCUACCAGUGUAUCACCACACAGGGGUGGACUGAUGUCCUUUAUUGGGUCAAUGAUGCUAUAGGAAUGGAAUGGCCAUGGAUCUUUUUUACUACGCUCAUCCUGGUUGGCUCCUUCUUCGUGUUAAACUUGGUUCUGGGCGUGCUCAGUGGGGAGUUCACAAAAGAGCGAGAGAAGGCCAAGUCCCGAGGAGAAUUUCAAAAGCUGAGGGAAACCCAGCAGCUUGAUGAGGACCUCAAGGGAUAUAUGGAGUGGAUAACUCAGGCCGAGGUCAUGGACAAUGACCAGGAAGGACAAGGCUUGCUCAAGACAGAAAAUGGAUCAGAGACUGGAAGUGUCAACAAAAUGGACACCAUACAGAUGAUCAUCUAUUACUAUAAGCUGGCUCGUAAGUGGAAUCGUUGGUUACGCCGUAAAUGUAGAGUGUAUGUGAAGUCCAAACUAUUCCACUGGUGGGUGAUCAUGCUCGUCCUCCUUAAUACACUGGCCAUCGCAAUGGAACACCACAGACAGUCCCAGAGACUCACAAACUGGCAAGACAAUGCCAAUAAGCUGCUGCUGUCUAUGUUUGCACUUGAGAUGUUCAUGAAGAUGUAUGCUCUCGGCUUUCCAUCUUACUUCAUGUCCCUCUUCAAUCGCUUUGACUGCUUUGUGGUGUCCACUGGCAUUAUGGAGCUCAUCCUUGUUUACAUGGGCGUCAUGUCAGUCAUGGGCAUUUCUGUGCUGCGCUGUAUACGCCUGCUGCGCCUGCUCAAAGUCACCAGAUACUGGACAUCUCUCAGUAAUCUGGUGGCUUCUCUUUUGAACUCGGUACGUUCCAUUGCCUGCUUGCUGCUGCUCCUCUUCCUCUUCAUUGUCAUAUUCUCCCUGCUGGGUAUGCAGGUGUUUGGAGGAAAGUUCAACUUCCCAAAUCAACCCAAACCCCGCAGCACCUUUGACAGCUUUCCUCAGGCCCUCAUCACUGUGUUUCAAGUUUUGACUGGUGAGGACUGGAAUGCUGUAAUGUAUGAUGGCAUCAUGGCUCAUGGAGGACCCAGCAUGCCUGGUAUCCUAGUCAGCAUCUACUUCAUCAUCCUUUUUGUCUGUGGAAAUUUUAUCCUACUAAAUGUCUUCCUGGCCAUUGCUGUUGAUAACUUAGCAGAAGCUGAGUCUUUGACUUUGGCACAGAAGGAAAAAGCAGAGGAGAAAAUACGAAAGAGAGCUCUCAGGUCCAACAUGCAUGACAAGGCUUCAGAGGAGAAAGCAAAUAUAGCAAAAAAGCUGGCUGAGCAAAGGGCCAAAGGUGUAGAGGGCAUCCCUACAACUGCUAAGCUCAAAAUCGACGAGUUUGAGUCCAAUGUCAAUGAGAUCAAGGACCCUUUCCCUCCGGCAGACUUUCCUGGUGAUGAUGAGGAGGAAGACCCUGAGAUCCCAGAAAGCCCCAGACCUCGUCCAAUGGCAGAUCUGCAGUUGAAGGAGGAAGCGGUGCCAAUGCCAGAUGCCAGCUCGUUUUUUAUCUUCGGACCUCAAAACAAGUUCCGGAAGCUCUGUCAUCGUAUUAUAAAUGCAACUACCUUCACCAACAUCAUCCUCCUCUUCAUCCUGCUAUCAUCUAUUUCUUUAGCUGCUGAGGAUCCAAUUGACCCCAUGUCCUUCAGGAACCAGGUGUUGGCGUCUGCUGAUAUAGUCUUCACUACGGUGUUCACAGCGGAAAUUGUGCUGAAGAUGACCACAUACGGUGCAAUUCUUCACAAAGGGUCUUUUUGUCGGAACUCUUUCAACAUCUUGGAUCUUCUGGUGGUCAGUGUAUCUCUCCUCUCAAUGGGCAUGGAAUCAAGUGCCAUCUCUGUGGUGAAGAUUCUCCGGGUUUUAAGGGUACUCCGGCCCCUGAGGGCCAUCAACAGAGCAAAAGGACUCAAGCAUGUCGUCCAGUGUGUGUUUGUUGCCAUCAAGACCAUUGGAAACAUUGUAGUGGUCACAAUGCUACUGGACUUCAUGUUUGCUUGCAUUGGAGUCCAACUUUUCAAAGGCAAGUUCUAUGCCUGUACAGAUCCUGACAAAAUGACUGAAGAAACAUGCAAAGGCUGGUAUAUGAAGUACCAGGAAGGAGGACUUCAUGCGAUUGAGGUCUAUGAGAGGGAAUGGACCAACUCAGAACUUAACUUUGACAACAUCCUCAAUGGCAUGCUGGCUCUUUUCACCAUUUCUACCUUUGAAGGCUGGCCAAAGAUACUAUAUAAAGCAAUUGAUUCAAACUUGGAGGAUAGUGGUCCAAUGUACAACAACCGUGUGGCCAUCUCAAUCUUCUUUAUCAUCUACCUCAUCCUUAUCGCCUUCUUCAUGAUGAAUAUAUUUGUGGGCUUUGUCAUUGUGACAUUCCAAGAGCAAGGAGAGCAGGAGUAUAAGGACUGUGAACUGGACAAAAACCAGCGCCAGUGUGUGCAGUAUGCUCUUAAGGCCAGACCUCUGCGAUGUUAUAUUCCUAAGAACCCCUACCAGUAUCAGGUGUGGUACAUCGUCACCUCCUGCUACUUUGAGUACCUUAUGUUCCUCCUCAUUAUGCUCAACACCAUGUGUCUUGGAAUGCAGCACUGUAACCAGUCAGAUCACGUAACCCACCUGUCUGACAUGCUGAAUGUAAUUUUCACUGUGCUCUUCACUGUGGAGAUGAUCCUGAAACUUAUGGCCUUCAAAGCAAAGGGUUAUUUCGGAGACCCUUGGAACGUCUUUGACUUUGUCAUCGUCAUUGGAAGUGUUGUGGACGUGAUGCUGAGCGAAAUUGAUGCAGCACUGGCCUCCUCUGGAGGACUUUACUGUCUCCAUGGCUGCACUGCAGUGGAUCCCAUGCAAGCAAUUGCGUCUUCUGAGAACAUGAGUGUGUCAGUCACAUUCUUCAGACUGUUUCGAGUCAUGCGUCUUGUGAAACUUUUGAAUCGCUCUGAGGGAAUAAGGAAUCUUCUGUGGACCUUCAUCAAAUCUCUUCAGGCUCUUCCCUAUGUGGCUCUGCUAAUUCUUAUGCUGUUCUUUAUAUAUGCUGUGGUUGGAAUGCAGAUAUUUGGAAAAAUUGCAUUGGUAGACGGCACUUACAUCGUCAGAAACAAUAACUUCCAGACAUUCCCACAUGCUGUGCUGGUGUUAUUCAGAUGUGCUACAGGUGAGGCAUGGCACGAAGUGAUGUUGGCUUGUAUGUAUGGGAAAAGAUGUGACUCCAAGUCGGACUUCUUGCCUGGAGAAGAGUCAACAUGCGGAUCCAACUUUGCUAUCAUCUACUUCAUGAGUUUCUACAUGCUGUGUGCAUUCUUGAUCAUCAAUUUAUUUGUGGCUGUCAUCAUGGAUAACUUUGACUAUCUGACACGUGAUUGGUCCAUCCUUGGUCCCCAGCACUUGGAUGAGUUCAAGAAAAUCUGGGCAGAAUAUGACCCUGAGGCCACGGUUUCUUAGGGUCUCACACUCACCUGCCAGCUCCGCCUUCUCAUUACUGCGGUCUCUCCCGCCUUCCACAUCUUCCCCGCAUCUACAAUCUGUCACACUCUUCCGCCUUCCACACCUGCUCUGGCAUCUACAAUCAGCUCCCCUACUUAAGCACUGCACUCCCAGCCUGUCAUUGCCAGAUUGUUCUUCCAGUCAUGCAAGUCUCUCCAGCACUCUCCCUUGGACUGACCUCCCGGUUUCAACCCUGCCUGUUCCCGACCUGUUCGUCUGUCUCCGCCCGGUAAGCACCUCAGCCUUCUGUCCCCGACCACGAGUUCCGCCUGAGCGCCUCGGGUUUCUGUUGCCUGGACUGCCCGGCACUUCUGCUCCUGUGCUGCGGCUCCCCGACCGGCCAAGCGAUCGCACCAGCUGUUUCCCGGCAUUUCCUCCCCGGCCACCCGGAGCGUCACCCCGACCCUGAGGACUGAACUCUGCCUCUCAUCAUGCCCGAACGACCGCUGUGAAGCCGUGUUUAAUAAAAACAUUAACUAAACACUCCGUGCCGUUGUGCUGCAUUUGGCUCCGCCACACGCCCGUUUCAUAGGGACAUGUGAUGAUUGCCUUUUUCCAUUAAGUUGGCACAGUGUGAGAGUCUGGGAACCUCUGGAAUAUGGGGCACCAAGCAGUUGCCUGUUGAUACAGUCCUUCACCUCCUUUGCGAUGUAAGGUUUGUAGUUAUUGUAGACUUUUUUUCUUUUUUGGAAUCACAGUGUCAACAUUGUACCUGUGGUAACUUCUGUGGCAUUGUCCAGUUUUGGCUCUCCAGAGAAGGUAUCCCUUGUUCUUCAUUAAAAAAUGUGUUUCUACAAACAAAGCUUCAGUCGCUUUUUGUAAUUUUACCACUGGCCUUGUGAUGAUGAAAGGCUUGUUGGCCCAAAGCUGUUUUUAGGUCAAUAGCCUAUUCUGUCAACAGUGCACUGCCUGGCAGGUGCACUCAAUCCCUCUCCUCCUACUCACAUACCGGGCAAUAACCUUGAUUACAUCUUCACUAGAAACUGCUUGACCACUAACCUCACUGUAACUCCACUUCACGUCACUGAUCACUUCUUCAUCUCCUACUCUCUUCCGCUCUUCCAACUAACUGACUCUGUACCUGUUCGCUGCAACAUUCGCUUACUCUCUCCCUCCUCUCUGGCUUCCUCUGUUCUCCCUCCUCUCUGACCUCCUCUGUUCUAUCGGCUCUCCCCUCAACUGACUCUCUCACUUACAUCCGAACGCCGCCGCAGAGACUCUCCUGACAACUGUGUCCUCCUCUCUUGACUCUCUGUCCUCUUAAGACACGACGGGCCAGCAAAUCCCCUCCGGCUCCAUGGUUGUCUGAACCGGUGUGAGCCGUGAGAGCCACUCUGCAAGGAUCGGAAAGGAAAUGGCGUAAACCACCUGAUGACCUGCAUGCGUUUCAGUCUCUUCUCUCCUUUUAUUCUGCAUCUAUCUCUGCUGCCAAAUCUUGAGUCCUCAUUUUCUAACCCUAAAAAUUCUCUUUUCUAUCUUCUCCUCGAAUUCCCCCAGUCUUCCUCCACCCUUCUUCCAAGAGACUUUGUCAGCUAUAUAACCCAAAAAAUACUCCUUCUGCCUGUAUCCCACCAACUUCACCUCUAUUGCACUUGCUUCCCUCUUUCACCCCCUGUCUCCUAACAAAGUUCUUUCCUUAGUAACAUCUGCCCGUAACCACCAUCUGCCCCCUUGACGUCAUUCCAUCCCAUUUUCUACAAUCUAUCGCUCCUGACCUUCCUUUCCUCACCUGUUUUCCCAACUCGCCAAGGAGGCAAGAGUUAACCCACUCAUAAAGAAACCAACUGUAGCACCGGUGUCUCACCACUUACUGCGCCACUGGACCAGUUCUAGGUUCUAAGGAGUGGGGAGCAAAAAUAAUUACACCAGAGACCGCUGCUUUAAAUACAAAAGGCCGGCAAUUUACUGAAUGCAAAAAAACACAUAUGAAAUACAGUACACAAACAAUUAUACCCUGCAGGAUCUUAAUGUUGGAGUUGGUGAGAUGAAUGAAAAGGUAUUUCACUCUUAUGCUCUCCGGUUUACCUAAGUUAUUUUACUCAAACUAAUCUAAGUUAGACCAGUCUUUUUCCUAGGUUGCACCUAUUUUUGAAUUCCUAUUUUACUUCCUGAGUUAACUAUUUUUCAUUUCCCUUUACAGGUGAGACAACACCUUCAAUUUGUACAAUCAAACAUAGAACAGAUCGUUUCAAAUCACAUUCAAACAUCGACUCAAUAUAAAAAUAAAAGUAGGACACCUUAAACUCAGUUAAAGUCCAAAUGUGAGUUCGAUUAUUCAGCUUAAUGAAGAGUUCCGGUUCGAUUCGGUCCAAAAAAGAAAUAGUUCAAUCAAUUCUUGGUUCAGUUCAAACUCAAUUCCUGAUACUCCUACCGCUCCGGCAGCGAGUCACCACACGCGGGAGAUUCCCUCACUGAUGCGAUGGGGCGAUGAGAUGAAGGUCUGGGUCUGGCUCACCAUCUUGAAUCCCGCCCGUGAAUGUGCACGCUUCAAACCAAGCACAAAUAUCUGACCAAACCGGUGUGGCUCAGUUUUCAUAAAAUCCCCGUCAGUUCCCGACCGGUUAGAUUAUAUUUAUCAACUGCAAAAAAUCUAUUUUAACACUUUUCUCUCUCUGCUCAACAAGCUACAUACGCUCUCUCUCCUCUCUUGCUUCCGGUCUCUGUUUUUGCGCCAGACGUGCCGCGUCUAGCAUCGCUAGUCUCUUAAAGGGGUAGCGACAGAUUUCCUGACGUCACACACUUCUAAUCUAAGACAUUGAAUUAUUGUUGUAUAAAUCUUUUUAAUUAACUUUUUGAUGAACUAACUUAGAUUUAUUUAUGCAGCUUUUAACCGUUUGUCAUAUUUUAAUGUGGGUUACACAACCCCCAACCCUGAAGCAAACUACACACCAGUAUCUCUUCUUCCCUUUCUGGCCAAAACUCUUCUCUUAUCUCCACUGAACCAUAUUAUUGCAUGUUUAAGGAUGUCAUCAUUUCUGACAUCUGUAAUCACACAGGCAAAUCAUAGAAAACUCAUGAAUCCCCAGUGCCAAAUAGCAAACAUGCAGUCUACUUUAUCCAGUAUCUCAUUUGGCUUGGUAAUGCAUUGUGUUCCUGAGGUUAAUUUUAAAGGGGACACAUUGGGACAAUUCCAUUUCAAAAAGGUCUUCUACACAUUAAUGUGAACAUCCGGCAUGUUUACCAACCCCCAAACACUGAAAAAAAACCCUAGCUGGCUCAUAAGCACCUUAAAAGGCCAUUUUCAGCAGAGCUGUUUGAGGCAGGUUGAAAACGGUUCCGUUAAUAAUGAUCCUUGUGGUACAGUGGUAAUUUUGGCAGCUAUUUUUUAUUUUAUUUUAUUUAGUCUUGCAUGUUAAAUGCAUGUUAGUUUUAGUCACAUUUAGUAAUUUUAAUCCUUCUUAUUUUUAGUAGACGAAAACUUGUUGGCAAACUUUUUGACUCGCAGGCCACAAUGGGUUCUAAAGUUUGACAGAGGAGCCGGGCCAUGAAUAAAUGGAUGAAGUGUUUGUGUGAGCUAAUAUAAAUGACAUUUGAAAAACCAUUACAUGAAAUUAUUUGGCUUUUAACAAGUAGCAAAGCAUUUAUUUGUAAGGGUGUAAAGCUCCGCUGACUCCAUGAGAACAGGGACCUAAACGCAACACUUGUUGUCUUUGUCUGUUUACCCGCAAUGCUUUUGCCAUGACCAAAAGAAACUUCAUGGUCUUUUAUUGUUUCCACUGUGAAAUUGCUUGUCCCAAUAAAAACACCCCAUAACCAUCCUACAAUUGGCCAUUCUCAACUGGACCCCACUUUUUAUUGAACAGUCUUUUCUUUCUUUCUCUCCUCUUUAUUUUUUGGUUUCAUGACCAGUUUUUUGCACCCCCCCCAGCCCGUCAGCCGUACUAAUCAUCAGUGGCCCGCGUUCGGUGGGCAGUAUCUGGCCCGAACCUGAAAUGAGUUUGGCUCCCCUGCUGUAAUUAGUUUAAUUAGACGUGUUUGGAGAAGACUACCGUAAUGGACUUUCUCAUCCAGCCGAGGAAACACUGGCACCAUAGCCCGAAAACGGAGCAGCAACGUCCGCAAGAACUCUGCUGGUCGACCAGCCCCGAGCUGUUAAGCGAGACUUCAUCUCCACGCACAUCUCUGAAUUUCCGGGGCUUUAGCCUGCUAACAGUGAGCUAAACGGAGACAGCUGAGCUAAACCAAGGAGCUGCAAACUCAAACUUGCCGAAGCAUAAAAUAGUCGUUGCGCUCCGUAUCGGUGCACAAAAUCCACUGGGGCCCCCACAGUAAGCGAGCAUUCUGGGUUUGUGCAUGAUGUAAUCAUGACACUUAAUAACCACCGUAGGGGGCGCUGUACUUUGCCCAUGUUAGUUGUAUGCAAAUUUAGGGGGAAAAAUGAUUGUGACUUUGUCAACCGCCAACAUUUUUGUCUCAUCAACAAAAGUUAGAAUAGAUUUAGUCAUAGUUUGUAUUAAUUUAAGAUCCGUUUUCGUCACGUCUUAGUCAUGGGAAAAAGGUUGUUAAUAAACAUUUUUCAUCAGUUUUUGUUACCAAAACUAACACUGUUUUGGUAUUAUGACAAUAUUAUGAUUUAGACAUUUCAUUCAUACCACAAGAACCAUAUAAACUUUUUUUUAAGACUUAAAGGUCCUAUGUGUAAGAUGUGGCCAAAGCUUGUAUAAAAUCAUUUACUUUGUAUUCUUUCUUACAGGGGGCGUAUUAAGCAUCUUGAUGUAGUGACACUGCUACGAAGAAUACCUCCUCCCCUGGGUUUUGGCAAAUUCUGUCCACAUCGUAUCGCCUGCAAGAGGUUGGUCUCUAUGAAUAUGCCACUCAAUAAUGAUGGAACAGUCACC